UGUUUUAGUGCUAAUUACAUUUGUGUUAAGAAUACAGUUAAUACAUUUUAAGUUUUCUAUUUUUUUUAUGUAUUUUUUGGUUGAGUCCAAAUUACUUUUAUUAUAAUGUACAGAAACCUUGCUUAUACUGUGAAAAUUCAUUCCGCAAUCGCCGCUCAGUUUAACCUAGGCCUUUCCAUCCCGUCAUACAAUAAUGAUCUUGUAAAUUUCCAUUUAAAUUGCCUGCAUACAGUACGAUUUACGCUGUCAAAUAAAUAUUUGCCUUUGUUUUUUCACGGAAAAAUGUCAAAAGUUAAUACACAACAUUUAUCUGCAUUUGCUAUACGAAAAUGAAGUUAUCUUUUCUGCGUGCAGAAAAUCACUUAAAUUUUUAAUAUUCAGUCAAAGACAAUAUGUUCAUAUUUAUUUAGUUAGAUUAAAGUUAGAAAUGCAUUUUUCCUUUAUAACCCAGCGCGGAGGACAGGGAAAAAACUCACUGGAUGAAACCUUCUCACAAGUAGUUGUGGACUUUUAAUUUCAGACAAGCCUGACAAGAAUAUGUUAUGCAUUAUUAUUUAUUAGUAUUGUUAAUAUUCUUGUUUAGGAAGUCCUUUGUUCUUGUAAUAAGUGGACAACUUGUUUCGUUAUAAGUUACCCAAAAAUAAAUUUUCAGAAAACGCAUUUAAAAUCAUU